GGUGAGAUGGCCGAGCGGUCUAAGGCGCCAGACUAAGGUAGAGCGACGGAAUCUCCUACGGUGUUAUCUGGUCUCUUCGGGGGCGGGAGUUCGAAUCUCCCUCUCAUCA